rnacentral:lncRNA from 1 species
AGAAAGUGCAAUUACACAAUGAAAAGGGGCAAGCACACUGCAUAAAGAUGUAGAUGAGCUAAAGCUACAUGGAAGAGAUGGGACAGCAUGCCAUGGGGGGAGCAGCCCAGCAGGGGAGCCAGGCAGCUGUCUCCUGACUACUUUCUUGACUGGAAAACAUGGGAUGCCUCAGAAUGCUCCAUAUCUUUGUAAGAUGCUUAUUUUGCCUGCAAAAGAAAGUCAUGUGUCUGGAAUAAUAACAUGAAAUGAUAUGAGCAGUGGAGAUUCAAGAAAUUACUCUUCAAAAAAAGUCUAUAGACAUGGUCUCAGGAAAGCUAAAUGCCAAGCAUUAGCAUGAAGAGGCUUCAGGAAAGGUGGGACCAGACAUUCAAAGAAUGUUAAGAAUUGGAUGGAAUGGUGAUAAUUUUAGCACUGAUGCUUAUUUGGAGUGAGGAAGAAAAACAUCUUAAGACAUCACUUGCUGCAAAAUAUUUGCCUCAUGACAGAUGGUUCCCCGAGGAUGACUUCAAAUUCUGAAAAUAAAAUGCAGCAGACCAGAUCGUAACGUCAGAAUUCAUUUUGGCAACUCUUGGAAAAGAAGAUUCAUUGUUUUGGUUGGUUUGUAAAGCUCUAAUGGUAAACUUCUGUUGUUUUCUAAAGAAAAGGUGGGCCCUUAGAGCACAUAAUAAAUAGUAACAUCGAUUUCACCUUGAAAAUUGCUACAAAAGUAGUUUGACCCUCUGGACUGGGAGAGUGAUUUGGAAGAAAUGAAAAUUCCAAGACUCUGGAAUUUUUGACACUUCAAGAAUGUGAGGUGUACAUUCAUUCCACUUCUCUAGGCCGGACAUUCCUUGGAAACUUCCCCUGGAAUAUCCUGGGGAAAAACCUCAGACUUUAAGACAGAACCCCUAGCUCAUUUUCUCAUCGUCUACUUCCGUCCCGGUGCACGCUUCUCUC